AUACCAAAACCCAUUGAAUUGUAUGCCUUAAAUAGGAGAAUUGCACGUUAUGAGCAUUAUAUCUCAAUAAAGCUGUUUCAACAAAGGACAAUACAGCAGUCAGCUUUGGGGGGAAAAGGUUGUGAUUCAAGGAUUUCCUAGGGAGCCAGCCAGUUAUUCAAGUAUAUGAGCAGCAGAAAGAGAUUUUACAUAUGGUUAGUCAAGUGAAGCAGUGCGAGUAGAGAAGGAACAAAGAAAUCUGUAACUGGCUGUGAUCAAUUACUGGUUUCGGGCUCUUGACACCACGCAACAUGAUGAGGCCAGCGCCCACUUCGCACCACGACUUAAACCUGGAGAGGCCACCGGGACCGCACUUACGGAUACCUAGGCGUAGGGAUGCGCAAAGCCUCCGCGGGAAACCUGGGCCACCGGACUACGUCUCCCAGAGAUCCCUGGGGCGAAAUCUCAGGCAAUUGGUUGAGAUCGAUCAGUUUUUACAGCCGCGGGCUCGUAGAGACCAAUCACAGGCCAGAGGAGGCGGGACCUCCC
rnacentral:lncRNA from 1 species